AUGAGCAGCGGCGGCGGCGGCGACGACGCGGGGGACGGCGGGCGGGCCGAGUGGCAGCGCAUCUACGACCGGGUCGGGGCGCUCGCCGCCGGCCGCGCGCGGCUGGAGGCGCGCAACAGGAUCCAGCACGAGUUCUGGGACGCCCGCCUCCACCAGGCGGAGCUGAGCAGAAGCAGGUGGGAGGUGGCCUGCAGGGAGCUGCUCCCUUCCGAUGAUCCCAAGCUCGCCGAACUGCUAGAGAGUGAUUUGGAGGAUUCAAGAACUUGUGAAGCUCUUUUGGACACCGAAAACUCAGAACUGCUGGUACAACUGAGGGAAGAUGGAGCUUGUGUAGAGCUUAAUGAAAACACUGCAGAUCAUGAGCACACUUCUGGAGAUUUAAUAUCAGAGGUAAGAAAGUUAAAGCGAACCUAUGCGACCAUAUGCUGGAACAAGGAUAAGGAAGCCACUGAAGCAGUGCAGAAGCUUCAACAGAAGAUAGAGGAGCUGCAAGUGGCAGCCUGUAAGAAGGAUGAUGAGAUUGGAAUAUUGCAAGCAGAAGCUUCUGCUUGUAUAAAUAAGUUAAUGCUUCUAAAGGGUAAACUAGAUGAAAUGCGAUCUUUGGAUAAGGACAUUGACAUCCAAAAGCUCAAAGUUGGGCAACAUGAGACUCUUGAAAGCAAGUUUGCCUCCUUGCCAAAUAAUGUAGAGGAGCUGCAAGUGUCAGUCCGAUAUAAGGAUGACGAGAUUGGCAGAUUGCGAGCAGAAGCAGGGCCCCUAAAGAUGAAGGAAGUGGAGGUGGCACAAGCUAACAAAGCAGCACAAAAGCUUCAGCAGAAUGUAGAGGAGCUGCAAGCGGCAGUCCGAAAUAAAGAUGACGAGAUUGGGAAAUUGCGAGCAGAAGUGGAGUACCUUCAGCAGAAUGUAGAGGAACUGCAAGUGGCAGUUCGAAAUAAGGAUAAUAAGAUUGGCAGAUUGCAAGCAGAAGUGAGGAUCCUUAACAUAAAACAAGUGGAGCCAGCACAAAAGCUUCAGCAGAAUGUAGAUGUGCUGCAAAUAGAAGUGCGAAAUAAGGAUGACGAGAAUUGUAGAUUGCCAGCAGAAGCUGCUAAUGCAGAAAAAAAGGUACCGGCUCUUGAGGUAACACAUAGCACUGAGCCAAAAACAGCCGAGGCCUCUGCAUCAACAAAAGCCUUGGCUGUUGUGGUGGCUGCUUCAGCAUCUCCACCCGUCACAAGCUCCAAGCCAGGGGCGGGGAUCGACAUCGAUCUGACCCCUCCCCGGCUUGUCGGCGACAGGGAGGCCAGCCCGCCCUUCCCUCCGGGAUUCGGGCCGGUGGCCCGAUUCAAGGACACAACUACCACCGCUCCGACAGCAACCUUGGCGGUGGUGGUUGCGAAGGAGGACGGCAACCCUGACCAGAGCAUCGCUGGUACUACUGAUGAUGCGGGUGGGCUCGACAUUGACACUGCCCCCAUGCCCCCUGCAGCAACAACAACCAAGACCAAGAGCAGCAUGCUGAAGGGCAAGCCAAGACCAAAGGAGCAGAGCAAGGCUGAUAAGGAAGGUACAGAGCUGGACUCGAUCCUAGGGAAGAGGAUGGAGCGCAACAGGCCAGAGUCUAAUGUAGGUCUAGGUGAAAAUGAGGAGAUGAACAGAGACAUGUAUAAGAAAAUGAGAGGGUCUGUUAGUGGAGAGGCUGAGAGCAACAUAGGUGUGUUAGGUGGUAAGGAAGCUACCGGUAUAGGGGCUACUGGGGAACUGAUGGGCGCAAAGGAUGACGCCCAUCAGGAGGAAUGA
rnacentral:rRNA from 1 species